CAUUCAACGCUCAGCUCAGAACUGGCACGGACUAGGGGAAUCCGACUGUCUAAUUAAAACAAAGCAUUGCGAUGGCCCUCGCGGGUGACGACGCAAUGUGAUUUCUGCCCAGUGCUCUGAAUGUCAACGUGAAGAAAUUCAAGCAAGCGCGGGUAAACGGCGGGAGUAACUAUGACUCUCUUAAGGUAGCCAACUGU